rnacentral:rRNA from 1 species
AUGGCCUCACUUACCAUGCUUGUAUGCUGGGUCAUCUGGAAUGAGAGAAACACUAGAGUGUUUUGGAAGAAAUCGACGUCGCCAUACUACAUUCUAAAACUCAUCCAGUAGGAGGCCAAGACGCGGCUUACCGUGGGGGCUAAGCAUCUGAGCAUCAUCAUGCCACGAGAGUAG